UACGAAGGGGGCUAGCGUUGCUCGGAAUCACUGGGCGUAAAGCGCACGUAGGCGGACUCUUAAGUCGGUGGUGAAAUCCUGGAGCUCAACUCCAGAACUGCCUUCGAUACUGGGAGUCUCGAGUCCGGGAGAGGUGAGUGGAACUGCGAGUGUAGAGGUGAAAUUCGUAGAUAUUCGCAAGAACACCCGUGGCGAAAGCGGCUCUCUGGAACGGUACUGACGCUGAGACGCGAAAGCGUGGGGAGCGAACAGG
rnacentral:rRNA from 1 species